AGCCCAUGCUGGUCUCUGCAUUCUCAGCUGGGCACCGGCUCCUCUGUUCAAUCUGCUACUGAAUUUACCAGAUGACGUUCACUGACUAAACCCAAUGUUUUGUUUUCAGCUUCUGUCACGACCACUGGCGGAUCCCACAGAGCUGACCCUCUUCUUAUGCUUUCAGACUCGCUGUCACAUGACCAUGCGUGGACGUCACAGUCGUUCCCUCUCAUGCUUUCAGACGCUCUGUCACGUGACCACAUGUGGACUUCACAGUGCUUCCCUCUCACGCUUUCAGACUGUCACGUGACUAUGCGUGGAUGUCACAGUCGUCUCCCAUGCUUUCAGACUCUGUCACAUGACCAUGCGUGGACGUCACAGCCAUCCCCUCUCACACUCCAUCUUGUUUGGUUUCCAUUCUCCAGGUCUCAUGCUCAUAAAACAGGUCAUGGCAACUGCAAGAUAACCUGAAACUCUGAAAGUGCUUCAGCCAGCCAUUCUAUUCAGAGCUGUCAGUAUUUGUAUGAGAGCGUCAAGGGAGCCCCUUGGCAGUCUAAGAGCACAGUUGAGCCGGUGGGGAACACAACAUGCCUUGCCUGGUUUCAUAGCUCCCGCAGUGAGCCGUAUCCUUUCACAGAAGAGAGGUUCAAGAAAUAUUUGCAGAAGGAAGAAACACUUCAUCACCCCGAGGCGGCACAGAAUACAAUUUAAAUUUGCUCAGACCUUAUCAACAAUCUCCAACUGUGGACAGGACACCUAAGCCGCUUGGCAUGGUCACUCCCUGCUCUGCCAACUCCUUUCUAACCUUGUGACUUGUGGGCCAUUCACUCCAAUCACAACUCAUCACCCCAGCAAUAAAGCUCCUUAGGAAGUACUACAAGAAUAUCUACCUCAUGGUACUGGACACAUGAAACACUCAAUAGAUGUUAAAUGUCAUGUUUAUGAAGGACUUAAAUGGUUAGAGGUAUAGUUUUUAGUGAAACCUCUAGUGAACACCUUUUUCAGUUAGUGUGAUAAAUUUAUCCGUUUUACACCCA